CCUACGGGGGGCUGCAGUGGGGAAUAUUGGACAAUGGGGGGAACCCUGAUCCAGCCAUGCCGCGCGUGUGAAGAAGGCCCUCGGGUUGUAAAGCACUUUCAGUGAGGAAGAACGCCUGGUGGUUAAUACCCAUCAGGAAAGACAUCACUCACAGAAGAAGCACCGGCUAACUCCGUGCCAGCAGCCGCGGUAAUACGGAGGGUGCGAGCGUUAAUCGGAAUUACUGGGCGUAAAGCGCGCGUAGGUGGCUUGAUAAGCCGGUUGUGAAAGCCCCGGGCUCAACCUGGGAACGGCAUCCGGAACUGUCAAGCUAGAGUGCAGGAGAGGAAGGUAGAAUUCCCGGUGUAGCGGUGAAAUGCGUAGAGAUCGGGAGGAAUACCAGUGGCGAAGGCGGCCUUCUGGACUGACACUGACACUGAGGUGCGAAAGCGUGGGUAGCAAACAGGAUUAGAUACCCGGGUAGUC
rnacentral:rRNA from 1 species